GAUGAACGCUAGCGGCAGGCCUAAUACAUGCAAGUCGAGGGGCAGCACGAGUACUUGUACUUGGUGGCGACCGGCGCACGGGUGCGUAACGCGUAUGCAACCUACCCUUUACUGGAGGAUAGCCUGGGGAAACUCGGAUUAAUACUCCAUGGUACUAUAGAGUCACAUGAUUUAAUAGUUAAAGAUUUAUUGGUAAAGGAUGGGCAUGCGUAUCAUUAGUUAGUUGGUAAGGUAACGGCUUACCAAGACUUCGAUGAUUAGGGGGCCUGAGAGGGUGAUCCCCCACACUGGUACAGAGAUAAGGACCGG
rnacentral:rRNA from 1 species